GAUGAACGCUGGCGGCGUGCCUAAUACAUGCAAGUCGAGCGAACGGACGAGAAGCUUGCUUUUCUGAUGUUAGCGGCGGACGGGUGAGUAACACGUGGAUAACCUACCUAUAAGACUGGGAUAACUUCGGGAAACCGGAGCUAAUACCGGAUAAUAUUUUGAACCGCAUGGUUCAAAAGUGAAAGACGGUCUUGCUGUCACUUAUAGAUGGAUCCGCGCUGCAUUAGCUAGUUGGUAAGGUAACGGCUUACCAAGGCAACGAUGCAUAGCCGACCUGAGAGAGUGAUAGGCCACACUGGAACUGAGACACGGUCCAGACUCCUACGGGAGGCAGCAGUAGGGAAUCUUCCGCAAUGGGCGAAAGCCUGACGGAGCAACGCCGCGUGAGUGAUGAAGGUCUUCGGAUCGUAAAACUCUGUUAUUAGGGAAGAACAUAUGUGUAAGUAACUGUGCACAUCUUGACGGUACCUAAUCAGAAAGCCACGGCUAACUACGUG
rnacentral:rRNA from 1 species